AAAUUGAAGAGUUUGAUCAUGGCUCAGAUUGAACGCUGGCGGCAGGCCUAACACAUGCAAGUCGAGCGGUAGCACAGAGAGCUUGCUCUCGGGUGACGAGCGGCGGACGGGUGAGUAAUGUCUGGGAAACUGCCUGAUGGAGGGGGAUAACUACUGGAAACGGUAGCUAAUACCGCAUAAUGUCGCAAGACCAAAGUGGGGGACCUUCGGGCCUCAUGCCAUCAGAUGUGCCCAGAUGGGAUUAGCUAGUAGGUGGGGUAACGGCUCACCUAGGCGACGAUCCCUAGCUGGUCUGAGAGGAUGACCAGCCACACUGGAACUGAGACACGGUCCAGACUCCUACGGGAGGCAGCAGUGGGGAAUAUUGCACAAUGGGCGCAAGCCUGAUGCAGCCAUGCCGCGUGUGUGAAGAAGGCCUUCGGGUUGUAAAGCACUUUCAGCGGGGAGGAAGGCGAUAAGGUUAAUAACCUUGUCGAUUGACGUUACCCGCAGAAGAAGCACCGGCUAACUCCGUGCCAGCAGCCGCGGUAAUACGGAGGGUGCAAGCGUUAAUCGGAAUUACUGGGCGUAAAGCGCACGCAGGCAGUCUGUCAAGUCGGAUGUGAAAUCCCCGGGCUCAACCUGGGAACUGCAUUCGAAACUGGCAGGCUAGAGUCUUGUAGAGGGGGGUAGAAUUCCAGGUGUAGCGGUGAAAUGCGUAGAGAUCUGGAGGAAUACCGGUGGCGAAGGCGGCCCCCUGGACAAAGACUGACGCUCAGGUGCGAAAGCGUGGGGAGCAAACAGGAUUAGAUACCCUGGUAGUCCACGCCGUAAACGAUGUCGAUUUGGAGGUUGUGCCCUUGAGGCGUGGCUUCCGGAGCUAACGCGUUAAAUCGACCGCCUGGGGAGUACGGCCGCAAGGUUAAAACUCAAAUGAAUUGACGGGGGCCCGCACAAGCGGUGGAGCAUGUGGUUUAAUUCGAUGCAACGCGAAGAACCUUACCUGGUCUUGACAUCCACAGAACUUUCCAGAGAUGGAUUGGUGCCUUCGGGAACUGUGAGACAGGUGCUGCAUGGCUGUCGUCAGCUCGUGUUGUGAAAUGUUGGGUUAAGUCCCGCAACGAGCGCAACCCUUAUCCUUUGUUGCCAGCGGUUAGGCCGGGAACUCAAAGGAGACUGCCAGUGAUAAACUGGAGGAAGGUGGGGAUGACGUCAAGUCAUCAUGGCCCUUACGACCAGGGCUACACACGUGCUACAAUGGCAUAUACAAAGAGAAGCGACCUCGCGAGAGCAAGCGGACCUCAUAAAGUAUGUCGUAGUCCGGAUUGGAGUCUGCAACUCGACUCCAUGAAGUCGGAAUCGCUAGUAAUCGUAGAUCAGAAUGCUACGGUGAAUACGUUCCCGGGCCUUGUACACACCGCCCGUCACACCAUGGGAGUGGGUUGCAAAAGAAGUAGGUAGCUUAACCUUCGGGAGGGCGCUUACCACUUUGUGAUUCAUGACUGGGGUGAAGUCGUAACAAGGUAACCGUAGGGGAACCUGCGGUUGGAUCACCUCCUUACCUUAAAGAA
rnacentral:rRNA from 1 species